rnacentral:misc_RNA from 1 species
AUGAGUGGGUGUGAGGAAGACCUACAAAACAAAUUCACAGUUGAAUCUGGUUUACAUUCAAGUUUGAAGCAUCUCUAACCGGAUACGUAAUAUCCUAUCUUUCUUUUAUCCCUUUCGUGUAUUCUUGACAAAUUGACAUCCAAAUUCUCUUUAAACUAUCUUGUCACAUAGGCAGAGUAAGCAGGUUCAGCCAGGCAUGUUUUAAUAUCAGCUCCUUUCACUUGAGAAAAGAAAUUGCAAACAGUAAUGCUUGAAAAAGUCUAUUUUGGGGAAAUCCUGAACUUGGAAAUCUCUUUUGGCCUCUUCCACUAAGCACAUAUAUGAAAAGUGGAAAGCAGAAAAAGUCUGAUUGUAAAAUAAGUUCUGUUCAUACAGCAACCACACCAAGCCUCGUUCCUUUAAAAUUCUUUGUGAUUAAAAGAAAAGUAGAACCCUGUAAACCCUCUUAUCACAUGGCUACACAAAAUAUCACACGAAAGGGAAACAAGACAAUUAAUUACCUCUUUGAAUCUAAUUAUAUUGGGGUGCUUCAAUGACCUG